GUGGCGGUAGUAUAGGUAUGUACAUUUUCCUUCCAAGAAAAAAGUCCAUAAAAAUGGUCGUUAU
rnacentral:tRNA from 2 species